AAUGUUUUGUUCUGUUCUUCCCAGUCCUUCAAGCACUAAUUCAACUUUCUUGAAAGGUAAAAAGCAGAAAAACAACUGAUGUCACCUCCCCCUUUUCUCUCAGUAAAUGAAAAAAAAAAGAAAAAAAGCAGAACUUCAGUAAAGUAAAGUUGAUUGGAUCAGCAGUGAGCAGAAAUGGCAUCUUGGCUUGGACUGUUGCUGAUGAUGUGUGGAGUAUCUCAUGGUGUGGAAACUUACUGUGAUGGCAGACAGAAUGGGACCCAAUGUUAUGGAGCUUUGGGAGGAACUGUGAACAUCCAACUGAUGAGCCAAAUCUUAGAAAUACCCAGAUAUCAGCUGUUCAGAAAUUCAAUGGAACAUUAUCAGGUCUGUGGACUCUACGGUUGUUUAUUCAAGCUCCUGUGUCCUCUGUCCUGCUGGUCUCUGAGUGUCUGUCCCAGGGAGAGAUGAGGGUGUCCUGCUCCUCUGAGGGAGGGGACAGUCCUCAGUACAGCUGGACUCUGGAUGGACGCACACUGACAGAUGCUGAGCUUUCUGUAAAUAAUGAAACUAACAACAUCACUCUGAAACAGAACGUCUCAGGAUGUCUGGUCUGCUCAGUCAGGAACAACGUCAGUGAUGUCUCCAAAGAACAGUGUAUAGCUACCUGUGGUCAGUAAGAGAUUAUUAAUAAACUCUGAUAAUGGUCACUUGGUCACUUUGUACAUCUUUCAUGUAUCAUCUUCUUGUUUAUUCAUAUGCUUCAUUUUCAUUGAUUGCACCUCGAUUAAUGGGAGACUAAUAUCACACCCUUUAAUCAAAUACCUGAUUGUACAUUAAUAAAUGAAGUCCAAGUUUAAUGAAGUGAUUUAAUUGAGGUUGUUGUUUUAUAUUCUUUUACAUUCCCCCCCCAAAACAUGUUUGUUGACUUGUUUGUUUUGUCGUGUUUAAUUUUAGAAGCAGAUUUUUUGCCACUGAUCAGUGGUGUGGUUUCAGCACUGCUCAUUUUAUUAGUUGUGGGUGUAGCACUUGUUUGUGUUCAGAGGAAAAAACAAAAGAACAAAUCAACAAAAAAAGCAGAGAAAGAAGACCAAGAAGUAAUGUAUGCUGAUGUUAGGGUCAUGCAGCAGCAGGGCAAGCCAGUGGAUGAAGGAGGAGAAAAGGUGUUGUAUGGCCAAGUCAAGUUUUCAUAGUGAUCUCAUCACUCUGAACAGGAUUGUGAUUGAACAGGCGUGUUUAUAUGUCAACAUUCCCCAAAAAAUCAGUGAUGUCAAAAUGCAUAAAUGUCUUUUCGCUUGAUUUCCUAUCAGAAAAAUAUAAACCAUCAAAACGUAUGAAUACUGAUUUUCUGUGCUUCAUUUGUAUUUCUGUAAUAUAACACAACAUAAAUUCACCAAGUCAUAGAAUCGUGUUUGUGUUUAAUUGCAAAUACUGUAAAUGUUUUUAAACUGAAGAAGGUUCUCAGCAGACGAAACUUGAACAAGUCCAGUCUCUUUUCUUU
ensembl:lncRNA